rnacentral:rRNA from 1 species
AGAACGAACGCUGGCGGCAUGCCUAAUACAUGCAAGUCGAACGAACACUUCGGUGUUAGUGGCGCACGGGUGCGUAACGCGUGGGAAUCUGCCCUUGGGUUCGGAAUAACAGUUGGAAACGACUGCUAAUACCGGAUGAUGACGAAAGUCCAAAGAUUUAUCGCCCAGGGAUGAGCCCGCGUAGGAUUAGCUAGUUGGUGAGGUAAAGGCUCACCAAGGCGACGAUCCUUAGCUGGUCUGAGAGGAUGAUCAGCCAACACUGGGACUG